UGAGUAUUCAUCACGGAGUGGUGCUGGUGCAGGUGGUACUGUUUAUGAAACCCAUGACUCUCAAAUUCUGGGCUCACAUGGACUAGUUGCAGUCAAUAUUCUUUGGACUUCUAUUGCCUCACCUAGAGCUUAACCUGGGAAAUCUUAGAAUAUAGCUUGUGCUUUAGAGUUCCAGAGAGGAAGAUAAAAGAAGUUCUGAGUUCCUGUACAAGCACCCAAGGUUAGGAGCCCUACUCCCCAGCUUUUCCUGCUAAGGCAAGGUCAUCUUGGAAGCACCUGCCAUUCUCCGGGACUUUAUUCUCCAAAAGCUUGGGAAGUGAAGCUUCUGCGGCCUGAAUCACUCUGUGCGCUGAAUUGACCCUGACCCCAUCCCCCAACCCCGGGCUAGAAGGAGGAAACCUUCUGCUUGAAAAAGUGCUGUAACAAAAAGAAGGUAACUUGCUCGUUCUAGAUUCUGAGCCAUCUGGCCAAGGCAUUCUCUCAACUUUGUCAUCUGUAAAAUUGGGGGGACGAUGAACUAAAAGACCUCUGACCUUUCUUCUAGCUCCGAAGCUCUAACAGAAGGAAUCGGUAAAACAAGAGAAAUAGGAAGAUAUUGCAAGGAUCAUCUUGAAACAAAGAAUCUCGUGGCAAGCAUUAUUUUAUUUGUCCAGCGUGUGCGUAGCACGUAGUAAGAGUUUAAUAAAAUAUUGUUGACUGACUGAUCACCCAGUGAAUCUCUGCUUUAUUGA